CUACGGGGGGCUGCAGUGGGGAAUAUUGCACAAUGGGCGCAAGCCUGAUGCAGCCAUGCCGCGUGUAUGAAGAAGGCCUUCGGGUUGUAAAGUACUUUCAGCGGGGAGGAAGGGAGUAAAGUUAAUACCUUUGCUCAUUGACGUUACCCGCAGAAGAAGCACCGGCUAACUCCGUGCCAGCAGGCCGCGGUAAUACGGAGGGUGCAAGCGUUAAUCGGAAUUACUGGGCGUAAAGCGCACGCAGGCGGUUUGUUAAGUCAGAUGUGAAAUCCCCGGGCUCAACCUGGGAACUGCAUCUGAUACUGGCUAGCUUGAGUCUCGUAGAGGGGGGUAGAAUUCCAGGUGUAGCGGUGAAAUGCGUAGAGAUCUGGAGGAAUACCGGUGGCGAAGGCGGCCCCCUGGACGAAGACUGACGCUCAGGUGCGAAAGCGUGGGGAGCAAACAGGAUUAGAUACCCCAGUAGUC
rnacentral:rRNA from 1 species